ensembl:misc_RNA Metazoa_SRP Metazoan signal recognition particle RNA
GCUGGGCUUGGUGGCUCGUGCCUGUAGUCCCAGCUGCUCGGGAGCCUGAGGUGGGAGGAUUGCUUGAGCCCAGGCAUUCUGGGCUGUAGUGUGCUAUGCCAAUCGGUGUCCACACUAAGUUCAGCAUCAGUAUGGUGACCUACCAGGAGUGGAGGAUGACCAGGUUGUCUGGGGAGGGGUGAACCAGCCCAGGUUGGAAACAGAGCACUCCUGUGCUGAAUAGCCACUGCACUCCAGCCUGGGCAACAUAGCAAGACCCUGUCUCUG